CGCAAAGUCUCGCCCCAUUCCGAGUCCGGCGGACGAACUUCGCCCGCACCCCCCACCAAGGCUAUAGCCCACCCGUUUUUUGGCCAUUUUUCCGCUGGGGGGUUUUGGCACCACGACCAUCGGGUGCUUAUUUUUGGGCGCGGCUGUGCCCGCGACUUCCAGCGGGCACCCCGAGGGCCCUCGCAAAGUCUCGCCCCAUUCCGAGUCCGGCGGACGAACUUCGCCCGCGCCCCCCACCAAGGCUAUAGCCCACCCGUUUUUUGGCCAUUUUUCCGCUGGGGAGUUUUGGCACCACGACCCUCGGGCGUUUAUUUUGGGGCGUGACUUUGCCCGCGGCUAAUUUUUGGUACCCCGAGGCCCCUCGCAAAGUCUCGCCCCAUUCCGAGUCCGGCGGACGAACUUCGCCCGCGCCCCCCUCCAAGGCUAUAGCCCUCCCGUUUUUUGGCCAUUUUUCCGCUGGGGGGUUUUGGCACCACGACCUUCGGGCACUUAUUUUUGGGCGCGGCUGUGCCUGCGACUUCCCGCGGGCACACCGAGGUCCCUCGGAAAGUCUCGCCCCAUUCCGAGUCCGGCGGACGAACUUCGCCCGCGCCCCCCACCAAGGCUAUAGCCCACCCAUUUUUUGGCCAUUUUUCCGCUGGGGGGUUUUGGCACCACGACCUUCGGGUGCUUAUUUUUGGACGUGGCUGUGCGCGCGACUUCCCGCAGGCACCCCGAGGCCCCUCUCAAAGUCUCGCCCCAUUCCGAGUCCGGCGGACGAACUUCGCCCGCGCCCCCCACCAAGGCUAUAGCCCACCCAUUUUUUGGCCAUUUUUCCGCUGGGGGGUUUUGGCACCACGACCUUCGGUCGUUUAUUUUUGGGCGCGACUUUGCCCGCGGCUUAUUUUUGGCAUCCCGAGGCCCCUCGCAAAGUCUCGCCCCAUUCCGAGUCCGGCGGACGAACUUCGCCCGCGCCCCCCACCAAGGCUAUAGCCCACCCGUUUUUUGGCCAUUUUUCCGCUGGUGGGUUUUGGCACCACGACCUUCGGGUGCUUAUUUUUGGGCGCGGCUGUGCCCGCGACUUCCAACGGGCACCCCGAGGGCCCUCGCAAAGUCUCGCCCCAUUCCGAGUCCGGCGGACGAACUUCGCCCGCGCCCCCCACCAAGGCUAUAGCCCACC
rnacentral:lncRNA from 1 species